GAUGAACGCUGGCGGCGUGCCUCAAACAUGCAAGUCGAGCGGGGCUAUGUAAUAUCGCAAGGUAGAACAUAGCCUAGCGGCGAACGGGUGAGUAACACGUGGGUAACCUGCCUGGAAGACAGGGAUAACGAUUCGAAAGGGUCGCUAAUACCUGAUAAUAUCCUUUCAUCGCAUGGUGAUAGGAAGAAAGGGGAAACCCGCUUUCAGAUGGGCCCGCGUCCCAUCAGCUAGUUGGUAAGGUAAAGGCUUACCAAGGCGACGACGGGUAGCCGGUCUGAGAGGAUGUACGGCCACACUGGGACUGAGAUACGGCCCAGACUCCUACGGGAGGCAGCAGUUGGGAAUCUUAGGCAAUGGACGAAAGUCUGACCUAGCGACGCCGCGUGAGGGAAGAAGGCCUUCGGGUUGUAAACCUCUGUCAUGGGGAGAAGGAAGUGACGGUACCCCAAGAGGAAGCCCUGCUAACUACGUG
rnacentral:rRNA from 1 species